GCCCCCGUAGCUCAGUGGAUAGAGCGCCAGCCUCCGGAGCUGGAAGCACAGGUUCGAGUCCUGUCGGGGGUACCA
rnacentral:tRNA from 1 species